AUGGUACCCUGGAUUUUCUUGGCUUCAUUAGGGUGCAUUGUUUUGGUGAAGUUCCACGAUGUAGAGAUAUACCAUUGUCCACGUGGUAUUAAAGAAGUUGUUUCAUGUUUGCAUCAAUGUGACUGCAGUGUCCACCUUGUUUGGGCAUGGUGGAAUUGCAGCUCAGUCUUCAGUGUAAAUACUAAAAUGAGGAAAGUGUGCCCAUCGUUUUGCACCGAUUUAAGAAAAGUUCCUGAUCCGAUAGAUUAUAUAUCAAUGCUAAUGGUAACACAUUUCUUUAUCACAUACUUUUCGCAAAACAAUGAUAUUCAUUUUUUUGGGGUAAUUUUGCCACAAGCAUGUUCGUCCUAA